CUGGGCGUAAAGAGCUCGUAGGUGGUUUGUCGCGUUGUUCGUGAAAUCUCACGGCUUAACUGUGAGCGUGCGGGCGAUACGGGCAGACUUGAGUACUGCAGGGGAGACUGGAAUUCCUGGUGUAGCGGUGGAAUGCGCAGAUAUCAGGAGGAACACCGGUGGCGAAGGCGGGUCUCUGGGCAGUAACUGACGCUGAGGAGCGAAAGCGUGGGGAGCGAACAGGAUUAGAUACCCUGGUAGUCCACGCCGUAAACGGUGGGUACUAGGUGUGGGUUUCCUUCCUUGGGAUCCGUGCCGUAGCUAACGCAUUAAGUACCCCGCCUGGGGAGUACGGCCGCAAGGCUAAAACUCAAAGAAAUUGACGGGGGCCCGCACAAGCGGCGGAGCAUGUGGAUUAAUUCGAUGCAACGCGAAGAACCUUACCUGGGUUUGACAUGCACAGGACGCCGGCAGAGAUGUCGGUUCCCUUGUGGCCUGUGUGCAGGUGGUGCAUGGCUGUCGUCAGCUCGUGUCGUGAGAUGUUGGGUUAAGUCCCGCAACGAGCGCAACCCUUGUCUCAUGUUGCCAGCGGGUAAUGCCGGGGACUCGUGAGAGACUGCCGGGGUCAACUCGGAGGAAGGUGGGGAUGACGUCAAGUCAUCAUGCCCCUUAUGUCCAGGGCUUCACACAUGCUACAAUGGCCGGUACAAAGGGCUGCGAUGCCGCGAGGUUAAGCGAAUCCUUUUAAAGCCGGUCUCAGUUCGGAUCGGGGUCUGCAACUCGACCCCGUGAAGUCGGAGUCGCUAGUA
rnacentral:rRNA from 1 species